GGGGCUGUCGGCUAGCCAGGUCUAGAAGGCUUGUCACGAAAAGCCCGGACUCGCCGCGUGGCUUGGGAGCCUUUACCCUUGGCCAUGAACCCACGAAAUCGCCGGUUCAAAUCCGGCCAGCCCCA
rfam:Archaeon 13_2_20CM_2_52_21 13_2_20cm_2_scaffold_25284, whole genome shotgun sequence.